GAUGAACGCUAGCGGGAGGCCUAAUACAUGCAAGUCGAGCGGCAAGGUCUUCGGACCCUAGAGCGGCGCACGGGUGAGUAACGCGUACGCAAUCUGCCCUUCAGUGAGGAAUAGCCCUGGGAAACUGGGAUUAAUACCUCAUAAUAUUAUUUGUCUGCAUGGAUGAAUAAUUAAAGUUCUGGCGCUGAAGGAUGAGCGUGCGUCUGAUUAGCUAGUGGGUAGGGUAACGGCCGACCAAGGCGACGAGCAGUAGGGGGCGUGAGAGCGUGACCCCCCACACGGGUACUGAGACACGGACCCGACUCCUACGGGGGGCAGCAGUAAGGAAUAUUGGGCAAUGGAGGCAACUCCGACCCAGCCAUCCCGCGUGAAGGAUUAAGGCCCUAUGGGUUGUAAACUUCUUUUGUUUGGGAAGAAAUCAGGACAUUCAUGUGCUGUUGACGGUACCUUACGAAUAAGCACCGGCUAACUCCGUGCCAGCAGCCGCGGUAACAC
rnacentral:rRNA from 1 species